UAGAACGCUGAAGCUUGGUGCUUGCACCGAGCGGAUGAGUUGCGAACGGGUGAGUAACGCGUAGGUAACCUGCCUCUUAGCGGGGGAUAACUAUUGGAAACGAUAGCUAAUACCGCAUAAAAGUCGACAUUGCAUGAUGUUGACUUGAAAGGUGCAAUUGCAUCACUAAGAGAUGGACCUGCGUUGUAUUAGCUAGUUGGUGAGGUAACGGCUCACCAAGGCAACGAUACAUAGCCGACCUGAGAGGGUGAUCGGCCACACUGGGACUGAGACACGGCCCAGACUCCUACGGGAGGCAGCAGUAGGGAAUCUUCGGCAAUGGGGGCAACCCUGACCGAGCAACGCCGCGUGAGUGAAGAAGGUUUUCGGAUCGUAAAGCUCUGUUGUAAGAGAAGAACGAGUGUGAGAGUGGAAAGUUCACACUGUGACGGUAACUUACCAGAAAGGGACGGCUAACUACGUGCCAGCAGCCGCGGUAAUACGUAGGUCCCGAGCGUUAUCCGGAUUUAUUGGGCGUAAAGCGAGCGCAGGCGGUUAGAUAAGUCUGAAGUUAAAGGCUGUGGCUUAACCAUAGUACGCUUUGGAAACUGUUUAACUUGAGUGCAGAAGGGGAGAGUGGAAUUCCAUGUGUAGCGGUGAAAUGCGUAGAUAUAUGGAGGAACACCGGUGGCGAAAGCGGCUCUCUGGUCUGUAACUGA
rnacentral:rRNA from 1 species